UAAUAAUCUCCAUCCCCCUGAGCUC
rnacentral:piRNA from 1 species